GCCCUGCUGAAGAGUCCCACAAUAGGAUGAAAGGACUGUCCAGUGC
rfam:Schistosoma rodhaini strain Burundi genome assembly, scaffold: SROB_scaffold0005759